GGGGAAUAUUGCACAAUGGGCGCAAGCCUGAUGCAGCCAUGCCGCGUGUAUGAAGAAGGCCUUCGGGUUGUAAAGUACUUUCAGCGGGGAGGAAGGCGAUGAGGUUAAUAACCCUGUCGAUUGACGUUACCCGCAGAAGAAGCACCGGCUAACUCCGUGCCAGCAGCCGCGGUAAUACGGAGGGUGCAAGCGUUAAUCGGAAUUACUGGGCGUAAAGCGCACGCAGGCGGUCUGUUAAGUCAGAUGUGAAAUCCCCGGGCUUAACCUGGGAACUGCAUUUGAAACUGGCAGGCUUGAGUCUUGUAGAGGGGGGUAGAAUUCCAGGUGUAGCGGUGAAAUGCGUAGAGAUCUGGAGGAAUACCGGUGGCGAAGGCGGCCCCCUGGACAAAGACUGACGCUCAGGUGCGAAAGCGUGGGGAGCAAAC
rnacentral:rRNA from 1 species